CUCUACAUGUGACUCUUGUUACUUCUAAGAGUGAGAAAAUCUAACCCGUAUAUGCGGGUAACUCAGGUGUGAAUGACAUGAGAUUUUUUGACUAGAGUGCAUGGGCCAGAGUGUGGUUCAGUGAGUAGGAUGCUGAUUUUGGAAGGUCGCUGGUUCAAAUCAUGAGGAUAGUAGAGUGAUUUCACCACUCUUGUGCAAGGCCCUUAUUCCCAGUUACUCUAGGGCCUGGGUGCUUUCUCAAAUAUAUGUUGCUUUGGACUGUCUGCUGAAUAAUUAAAAAUGCAUGUGUAUAUUACACCUUCAAUGACCUGACUGACAACAUGUCCCCUGGUCAUUCUCCUGCAGAACUGCUGACUGACAACAUUGACGUCGCCAUCACAUGUGCCAAGCGUGUGGUCAGCGACCCCAAAGGGAUGGCAGCCUGGGUGGCCUGGCGGAAUCGCUGCCAGAGGCGCGACCUGAGGCAGUACACUGCAGGCUGUGGGGUCUGAAUCAAACGCCCAGGAGCCAGAACAUGCCCGGCGUGGGGCUCCUUGCUGAAACUGAAGCUGAAUAUUUUCUUCAAACCACUUGUGGGGCCACUGCAUGAAAAUGAUCAGACUUUCUUAAACAUAUUUAAAGAGUCACUGUCACUUUGAGUAAUGACAUAUCAAUAAAGGGUGAAGUUAACAUGUUUACCCAGUGGAUGGCAGUAAUAGGCCAUGGUGUGUGUAACCUAGCAACGGCAAUCAAGAAUACAUGAAUGAUUCAUCACAUGGUGAAGUAUGGCUUAUCAAAGAUGUUUUUUUAAAUGGUGCUUGCCAACCUAUGAUCUUGCCUUCUCACUGCUUUCUAAUACUUUAUUUUUUUUUCCAAAAAUACAUUAAAAAAAUGUUAAUCUUACUGGA